rnacentral:rRNA from 1 species
UAGAGUUUGAUCCUGGCUCAGGAUGAACGCUGGCGGCGUGCUAAUACAUGCAAGUCGAACGCACAGCGAAAGGUGCUUGCACCUUUCAAGUGAGUGGCGAACGGGUGAGUAACACGUGGAUAACCUACCUCAAGGUUGGGGAUAACAUUUGGAAACAGAUGCUAAUACCGAAUAAAACUUAGUAUCGCAUGAUACCAGGUUAAAAGGCGCUACGGCGUCACCUAGAGAUGGAUCCGCGGUGCAUUAGUUAGUUGGUGGGGUAAAGGCUUACCAAGACAAUGAUGCAUAGCCGAGUUGAGAGACUGAUCGGCCACAUUGGGACUGAGACACGGCCCAAACUCCUACGGGAGGCUGCAGUAGGGAAUCUUCCACAAUGGGCGAAAGCCUGAUGGAGCAACGCCGCGUGUGUGAUGAAGGCUUUCGGGUCGUAAAGCACUGUUGUAUGGGAAGAACAGCUAGAGUAGGGAAUGACUUUAGUUUGACGGUACCAUACCAGAAAGGGACGGCUAAAUACGUGCCAGCAGCCGCGGUAAUACGUAUGUCCCGAGCGUUAUCCGGAUUUAUUGGGCGUAAAGCGAGCGCAGACGGUUAAUUAAGUCUGAUGUGAAAGCCCGGAGCUCAACUCCGGAAAGGCAUUGGAAACUGGUUAACUUGAGUGCAGUAGAGGUAAGUGGAACUCCAUGUGUAGCGGUGGAAUGCGUAGAUAUAUGGAAGAACACCAGCGGCGAAGGCGGCUUACUGGACUGUAACUGACGUUGAGGCUCGAAAGUGUGGGUAGCAAACAGGAUUAGAUACCCUGGUAGUCCACACCGUAAACGAUGAGCACUAGGUGUUAGGAGGUUUCCGCCUCUUAGUGCCGAAG